GGUUUGAUCCUGGCUCAGAUUGAACGCUGGCGGGAUGCUUUACACAUGCAAGUCGAACGGCAGCACGGACUUCGGUCUGGUGGCGAGUGGCGAACGGGUGAGUACGUAUCGGAACGCCUAGUAGCGGGGGAUAACUACGCGAAAGCGUAGCUAAUACCGCAUACGCCCUUCGGGGGAAAGCGGGGGGACCUUCGGGCCUCGCACUAUUAGAGCGGCCGAUAUCGGAUUAGCUAGUUGGUGGGGUAACGGCUCACCAAGGCGACGAUCCGUAGCUGGUUUGAGAGGACGACCAGCCACACUGGGACUGAGACACGGCCCAGAUCCGCCGGAGGCAGCAGUGGGGAAUUUUGGACAAUGGGAAACCCCGAUCCCGAAGUCGCAUCCCGCGUGUGCGAUGAAGGCCUUCGGGCUAAAAAGCACUUUUUGGCAGGAAGAAACGGCACGGAUAACACCCGCAACGACGGUACCAGAUAUUGCUACACCGGCUAACUACGUGCCAGCAGCCGCGGUAAUGUAGGGUGCAUAAGCGUUAAUCGGAAUUACUGGGCGUAAAGCGUGCGCAGGCGGUUCGGAAAGAAAGAUGUGAAAUCCCAGAGCUUAACUUUGGAACUGCAUUUUUAACUACCGGAGCUAGAGUGUCAGAGGGAGGUGGAAUUCGCGUGUAGCAGUGAAAUGCGUAGAUAUGCGGAGGAACAGACCGAUGGCGAAGGUGCAGCCUUGGGAUAACACUAAUGCUCAUGCACGAAAGCGUGGGGACAAACAGGAUUAGAUAAUUGGUAGUCCACGCCCAAAACGAUACCACCACGUUGGGGCCUUUCGGCCUCGGUAGCGCAGCUAACGCGUGAAGUUGACCGCCGGUUUGGGAGUAAUGGCCGUGAGAUUAAACCUAAAGGAAUUGACGGGGACCCGCAACAAGCGGUGGAUGAUGUGGAUUAAUUUGAUGCAACGCGAAAACCUUACCUUACCCUUGACAUGUCUGGAAUCCCGCGACGAGUGCUCGCAAGAGAACCGAACACAGGUGCUGCAUGGCUGCUGCCACAGCUCGUGUCGAGAUGUUGGGUUAAGUCCCGCAACGAGCGCAACCCUUGUCAUUAGUUGCUACGAAAGGGCACUCUAAUGAGACUGCCGGUGACAAACCGGAGGAAGGUGGGGAUGACGUCAAGUCCUCAUGGCCCUGGUGCGGGCUUCACACGCCGCGUUGGCACGGUCGGGACAGAGGGUCGCCAACCCGCGAGGGGGAGCCAAUCCCAGAACCCGAUCGUAGUCCGGAUCGCAGUCUGCAACUCGACUGCGUGAAGUCGGAAUCGCUAGUAAUCGCGGAUCAGCAUGUCGCGGUGAAUACGUUCCCGGGUCUUGUACACCGCCCGUCACACCAUGGAGUGGGUUUUACCAGAAGUAGUUAGCCUAACCGUAAGGGAGGGCGAUUACCACGGUAGGAUUCAUGACUGGGGUGAAGUCGUAACAAGGUAA
rnacentral:rRNA from 1 species